rnacentral:rRNA from 1 species
UUGCCUACGGGGCGCAGCAGUGGGGGAUAUUGCACAAUGGGGGGAACCCUGAUGCAGCGACGCCGCGUGGGUGAAGGAGCGUUUCGGCGCGUAAAGCCCUAUCGGCAGGGAAGAAGAUGACGGUACCUGACCAAGAAGCCCCGGCUAACUACGUGCCAGCAGCCGCGGUAAUACGUAGGGGGCAAGCGUUAUCCGGAUUUACUGGGUGUAAAGGGAGCGUAGACGGCAGCGCAAGUCUGGAGUGAAAUGCCGGGGCUCAACCCCGGAACUGCUUUGGAAACUGUGCAGCUAGAGUGCGGGAGAGG